UAGAAAACAAUGACAUAUUUCAAAAUAUUGAUAGGGUAAUGCGCAGAAAUCAUCUCAGGAUGAAGCAGGUCUACAGGGUGCCAUUUGAACGCAAUUCAGAGUCAAAGAAUUGCAAUAUAACUAUGUGCAAAGUCCUUGAGCUAGAGGUGGCUGCAGUGGAGCACCAGUUCAUCUUCAUUGAGGUUUGGUUCAACCUCACAAAGACGAAAGAGGGGAAGGAAUGUCAUCGGCCAGCGUGCCAUUGUUGAAGUCUCUGGCCAGCGCGGAGGGAACAUCACAAUGUGUGCAGCGAUUACCCACCACGGCGUCAUCCAUCACCAUGCUACCCUUGGCCCCUACAACACCGCCCAUCUGAUCACAUUCCUGGACACCCUACACAACACACUCAUUCCACCAGAUCAGGUAGAUGGCCCAGAGCAGCUCAGGUACGUUGUCAUUUGGGACAACGUAAGUUUCCACAGGGCUGCUCUGGUUCGUAACUGGUUCACUGCCCACCCACGCGUUUUAGUUUAUCUCCCUCCAUAUUCUCCAUUUCUCAAUCCUACUGAGGAAUUUUUUUCUGCCUGGAGAUGGAAAGCGUAUGACCGAAAUCCACAAACACGUAUACCUCUUCUCCAAGCUAUGGAGGAUGCAUGUGGAGAUAUAGCAGCUGAUGCUUUUCAUGGCUGGAAUCGCCAUGCUAGGCGAUAUUUCCCCCGCUGCUUGGCCAGGGAAAACAUUGCUUGUGAUGUGGAUGAGGUGCUGUGGCCAGACCACAACAGAAGAGAGGAUGCAGCAUAGGUUGUUUUUAGGUUGGCUUUUUUUACUGUAACUGUGUACAGUAAAUUCUUUUUUUGUAUGUGCAACUUUGUGUUGGUUGGGAAUGGGAUGUACAAUGUUUUUGUGGGACAAAUAAAAUAUAUCUGUUACCGUGUA